CCUACGGGUGGCAGCAGUGAGGAAUAUUGGUCAAUGGACGAAAGUCUGAACCAGCCAAGUAGCGUGAAGGAUGACUGCCCUAUGGGUUGUAAACUUCUUUUAUAUGGGAAUAAAAUGUUCCACGUGUGGGAUUUUGUAUGUACCAUAUGAAUAAGGAUCGGCUAACUCCGUGCCAGCAGCCGCGGUAAUACGGAGGAUCCGAGCGUUAUCCGGAUUUAUUGGGUUUAAAGGGAGCGUAGGUGGAUUGUUAAGUCAGUUGUGAAAGUUUGCGGCUCAACCGUAAAAUUGCAGUUGAAACUGGCAGUCUUGAGGACAGUAGAGGUGGGCGGAAUUCGUGGUGUAGCGGUGAAAUGCUUAGAUAUCACGAAGAACUCCGAUUGCGAAGGCAGUUCACUGGACUGCAACUGACACUGAGGCUCGAAAGUGUGGGUAUCAAACAGGAUUAGAUACCCGAGUAGUC
rnacentral:rRNA from 1 species